UGUGAGUGGUGUUUGGGUGUGCGUGUUGGCAGGCUCCGUGCUUAAUGCAUCGAACUGUCGACCCUCACUCCUCUUCAAUCUUUCCCCCGCGGUCGUCGUGCCCGGGGGUAGCAAUCGGGAUCCUGCGCUGCUUACCUAUACGGAUGGAAUUCGGCUGUCGUGCCGUCCCUCGUCCGUCUCGCGCCCUUAGGGGCUGCGCGGCGGACUUCGUUCAUGACCCGUGUUGCAAGUGUGCCCAAUCACUUGCCGUGGCCCGGCUUGGUGUCACCGGUGCCUGAUCGUUCUUUCGGAUGCGGAAAGCUUUGUGGGCGUGGGUCCACGACCCUAUUAUUCAUUGAUGCGAUGCGAUUUGUCCCUCGAUACGUACGACGCUCGUGCCCCGUCUUGGACUCUCCGCUGCCCGUGCGGUGCGUUGAGUCCCAAGCGGUGCCGACGUCUCG
rnacentral:misc_RNA from 1 species